UAAUACAGAGGGUACGCAAGCGUUAAUCGGAAUUACUGGGCGUAAAGGCGCACGUAGGCGGUUUUUUAAGUCAGAUGUGAAAGCCCCGGGCUCAACCUGGGAAUUGCAUUUGAAACUGGAAAACUAGAGUGUGUGAGAGGGGGGUAGAAUUCCAAGUGUAGCGGUGAAAUGCGUAGAGAUUUGGAGGAAUACCAGUGGCGAAGGCGGCCCCCUGGCACAACACUGACGCUCAGGUGCGAAAGCGUGGGGAGCAAACAGGAUUAGAUACCCUGGUAGUCCACGCCGUAAACGAUGUCUACUAGCUGUUCGUGUCCUUGUGGCGUGAGUAGCGCAGCUAACGCAUUAAGUAGACCGCCUGGGGGAGUACGGUCGCAAGAUUAAAACUCAAAUGAAUUGACGGGGGGCCCGCACAAGCGGUGGAGCAUGUGGUUUAAUUCGACGCAACGCGAAGAACCUUACCUACUCUUGACAUCCAGAGAAGACUGCAGAGAUGCGGUUGUGCCUUCGGGAACU
rnacentral:rRNA from 1 species